GAUGAACGCUAGCUACAGGCUUAACACAUGCAAGUCGAGGGGAAACGAUAUUGGAAGCUUGCUUCCGAUAGGCGUCGACCGGCGCACGGGUGAGUAACGCGUAUCCAACCUGCCCACCACCUGGGGAUAACCUUGCGAAAGUAAGACUAAUACCCAAUGACGUCCAUAGAAGACAUCUGAAAUGGAUUAAAGAUUUAUCGGUGAUGGAUGGGGAUGCGUCUGAUUAGCUUGUUGGCGGGGUAACGGCCAACCAAGGCGACGGUCAGUAGGGGUUCUGAGAGGAAGGUCCCCCACAUUGGAACUGAGACACGGUCCAAACUCCUACGGGAGGCAGCAGUGAGGAAUAUUGGUCAACGGGCGAGAGCCUGAACCAGCCAAGUAGCGUGCAGGAUGACGGCCCUAUGGGUUGUAAACUGCUUUUAUAAGGGAAUAAAGUGAGCCUCGUGAGGCUUUUUGCAUGUACCUUAUGAAUAAGGACCGGCUAAUUCCGUGCCAGCAGCCGCCGUAA
rnacentral:rRNA from 1 species